GAUUCGUCACACUAUCAUUAACUGAAUCCAUAGGUUAAUGAGGCGAACCGGGGGAACUGAAACAUCUAAGUACCCCGAGGAAAAGAAAUCAACCGAGAUUCCCCCAGUAGCGGCGAGCGAACGGGGAGGAGCCCAGAGCCUGAAUCAGCAUGUGUGUUAGUGGAAGCGUCUGGAAAGGCGCGCGAUACAGGGUGACAGCCCCGUACACAAAAGCGCAUGUGCUGUGAGCUCGAUGAGUAGGGCGGGACACGUGGUAUCCUGUCUGAAUAUGGGGGGACCAUCCUCCAAGGCUAAAUACUCCUGACUGACCGAUAGUGAACCAGUACCGUGAGGGAAAGGCGAAAAGAACCCCGGCGAGGGGAGUGAAAAAGAACCUGAAACCGUGUACGUACAAGCAGUGGGAGCACCCUUCGGGGUGUGACUGCGUACCUUUUGUAUAAUGGGUCAGCGACUUAUAUUCUGUAGCAAGGUUAACCGUAUAGGGGAGCCGGAGGGAAACCGAGUCUUAAUUGGGCGUUAAGUUGCAGGGUAUAGACCCGAAACCCGGUGAUCUAGCCAUGGGCAGGUUGAAGGUUGGGUAACACUAACUGGAGGACCGAACCGACUAAUGUUGAAAAAUUAGCGGAUGACCUGUGGCUGGGGGUGAAAGGCCAAUCAAACCGGGAGAUAGCUGGUUCUCCCCGAAAGCUAUUUAGGUAGCGCCUCGUGAAUUCAUCUCCGGGGGUAGAGCACUGUUUCGGCUAGGGGGCCAUCCCGGCUUACCAACCCGAUGCAAACUGCGAAUACCGGAGAAUGUUAUCACGGGAGACACACGGCGGGUGCUAACGUCCGUCGUGAAGAGGGAAACAACCCAGACCGCCAGCUAAGGUCCCAAAGUCAUGGUUAAGUGGGAAACGAUGUGGGAAGGCCCAGACAGCCAGGAUGUUGGCUUAGAAGCAGCCAUCAUUUAAAGAAAGCGUAAUAGCUCACUGGUCGAGUCGGCCUGCGCGGAAGAUGUAACGGGGCUAAACCAUGCACCGAAGCUGCGGCAGCGAACGUAUCACCCAAGACAACUUUACGGAGUUGACGAUUGACGGAGCGAAGCGACGUCAAAGCGUUCAUUAAAGUCGAGUUGGCUUAGGGAUACGUUCGUUGGGUAGGGGAGCGUUCUGUAAGCCUGUGAAGGUGUGUCGUGAGGCAUGCUGGAGGUAUCAGAAGUGCGAAUGCUGACAUAAGUAACGAUAAAGCGGGUGAAAAGCCCGCUCGCCGGAAGACCAAGGGUUCCUGUCCAACGUUAAUCGGGGCAGGGUGAGUCGACCCCUAAGGCGAGGCCGAAAGGCGUAGUCGAUGGGAAACGGGUUAAUAUUCCCGUACUUGGUGUUACUGCGAAGGGGGGACGGAGAAGGCUAUGUUGGCCGGGCGACGGUUGUCCCGGUUUAAGCGUGUAGGUGUGUGUUCCAGGUAAAUCCGGUUCACUUUAACACUGAGGCGUGACGACGAGGCACUACGGUGCUGAAGCAACAAAUGCCCUGCUUCCAGGAAAAGCCUCUAAGCAUCAGGUAACACGAAAUCGUACCCCAAACCGACACAGGUGGUCAGGUAGAGAAUACCAAGGCGCUUGAGAGAACUCGGGUGAAGGAACUAGGCAAAAUGGUGCCGUAACUUCGGGAGAAGGCACGCUGACACGUAGGUGAAGUGAUUUACUCAUGGAGCUGAAGUCAGUCGAAGAUACCAGCUGGCUGCAACUGUUUAUUAAAAACACAGCACUGUGCAAACACGAAAGUGGACGUAUACGGUGUGACGCCUGCCC
rnacentral:rRNA from 1 species